rnacentral:lncRNA from 1 species
GCAAAUAGACAAAUAAAAAAGAGCAUACAGACAAAUUCUCUAAAACAAUUCCAUUUCUUGCUACAGGUUUAUAUAACACAUUGACAAGUGGUAUAGCAAAGAGCUUCUAAGUAUUUGAGAUGGCUCCUCUGACAGCUGAGAAGCAAUCAAUGAUCUGGAUUGUAGUCUUUUGUACCUAAGGAGAUGGAGACCAUGAAUACCUACAGCAGCCUGGGAAGCAUCAUGGUGACAAGUUCCUCCUUUUGAAAUGGAUGUUCUGUGCUCCCAAUAGUUCAGACCAUGACUUGCUGCAAGAAGCUCAAUACCUAGAAAGUGAACCUGAGGAGAAGGAGGGACUGAUGCAUAUGUACCUGCCACAUGGGCAGUAUCUGGAUCUCACUCGUGAAAGACGAGUACCAGUCCAGUACUCAGGGACAGCAAGAUGAAAUCUAUGACAGCACUGAGGGCCUAGUAAAGAUGACCAAGGCAGAGAGAUGAACUCUGUUUCUGAACCACAUCACUGAAGAGUUUAGAUAGAAAAGAUGCUUGAAAUAUGCCUUAAAUCACGAAUGACUUUCCCAGGAAAAGAAUGGAGAAGAAAAUUCUUGUUCAGUUGAAUCAGCAUGGCUCUGGAUUGAGUGGUUACAUGAGUGAGGUCAUUUUGUGCUUGCAUCAGAAAUGUUAAUGUGGCCCUGACCUUGAAGAAUAAACUGUGUCUUUAGGGAAUUGUUCCCUUCCAAUGUCUUAUUUUCAACCUUUUGAGCUUAGACAUUAUUUAGGUGGAUGGGUGGACACAUACAUAAAUUAAAACAAGAUAUAAAAAUAAGUUGAAACAGAAUAGGAGAGAAUAAUUUUAAAGAGAUAAUCUCUGGCUACCUGAGUAUGUGUGAGACCUUAAUCUAAUCUGAAGCAGCAUUGCC